AACGAACGCUGGCGGCAGGCCCAACACAUGCAAGUCGAGCGCCCCGCAAGGGGAGCGGCAGACGGGUGAGUAACGCGUGGGAAUCUACCCAUCUCUACGGAAUAACGCAUGGAAACGUGUGCUAAUACCGUAUACGUCCUUCGGGAGAAAGAUUUAUCGGAGAUGGAUGAGCCCGCGUUGGAUUAGAUAGUUGGUGGGGUAAAAGCUUACCAAGCCGACGAUCUGUAGCUGGUCUGAGAGGACGAUCAGCCACACUGGGACUGGGACACGGCCCAGACUCCUACGGGAGGCAGCAGUGGGGAAUAUUGGACAAUGGGCGCAAGCCUGAUCCAGCCAUGCCGCGUGAGUGAUGAAGGCCCUAGGGUUGUAAAGCUCUUUCACCGGUGAAGAUAAUGACGGUAACCGGAGAAGAAGCCCCGGCUAACUUCGUGCCAGCCGCCGCCGUAAUAC
rnacentral:rRNA from 1 species